UGUAGCUGUGAAUUUAGCUCUACAAACACAAUAAGUUUAUAUAUUAAGUAAAGUGAGGACUUUCUACAUUUAAAGUGAGGAUCUAAGUUGUCUAUUUUUAUCAAUUUAUAGAAUUGGAUAUCUUUAGAUAUGACUUCUUGUGUUUUGACUGGCAAAAGAUCCAAUGCCCAAACCAAUGACAAUCACGAUGAAAGAGGAAAACGUUACUUUAACUUAAUAUAAGUAAUAUCUAUACAAGUCGCUGGAUUAUCGAAAUAGAAAGAUGUACAGGCGACUUUUUACGAAAUAGAAAGAAAAGGACAUUACUGGUUGAUUCAGAGAAGUAUUAAGAUUUAUUGCCGUUUGAGCAUAAUUAAGAGCGCGUUUCUUGUUUUCUAACAGAAUAUUAUGUGACAGGAAUUACUCGGACCUUUAAGUAGCCGAUGGCAAUUUCUGCAUGAUACGUAUUCUGGCUAGGCAAUUCGACAUUCUUUGGACAUAAAGUAGCUUAAAGUACAUAUACUUUCCGUAAAAACCGGAAAAUGUCGAAAUUGCAUACACAGAAUACGUAAUUUGCCUGAUUAUCAUUAUGGGUUCACAACCUUUAAAAGAUUGCGAACGCGUAAUCAGCAAAACCACAGGCUUCUUUGCAUUACUUCUGAAUACUGUCUAGCGGCGCCGUCCUUUCAUUACUGUCGUUGUGAUGGGGGCAACGAAAUAAGGAAACCUGCAACAAAGUAAAUUCUAUCGUCCCCACAAGAGCAACAUUUUUUUAUUUAUCGUCUAAUGCUUUGAUCAUUAUUUCUUCCCCAUCACAUCAAAAGAACGACAAUGUGAUAAUUCAUAAAACCACUAUUUUGCCGUUGUUGCGAAUAAAUUUCAAGAUAUCGUUUUGGCAUGGGUGAAAGAACGAUAAUUUAUUGUUAUGUCGUUCUGUUGUCCUCGCCAGAACGACACAACGAAAUGACGACAGUUUUAUUGCGCCAUUUUGGCGUGUGCAUAAAUGUCAGUUUCUUUCGUUCUGUCGCGCUUGUUUUUCUCGUUGUGUCUUCUUGGUAGAGUAAAAGAACAGGACAAUGAACCACAGUAAUUAUAUUUGUCGUGUUUCGCCGACAGCACGUUGACACGACAAACGUAGGGGUACAAUAUGACAAGUAUUCCUGUCGUGUUGUCGACCUAUUCUUUCCUGUUCCCGUCCUGACGGGGUCCCCUUGCGACAACACCGAGGUCAACACAUUAUUAAGUUGUUGUUUCGCAUCCAGGUUGUCAUGCACAGUGUUCAGUAAUGUUGCUAAAUGAAUGUAAGUAAACAUCUCUUAGUAACCUACUGAGGCAAGAUCGUAUCCUUUUUACUUUCUUUAAUGCGGUACACGACCAAAAAUAUUUUCUGUUCUUACCAGUUUUAUAUUUAGGCGACCAUAGACCCGUCUGCGCAUGUCAACCGUAAGGUAAAGCAAGGACAAAAUAACAUAUUUUGUCCUCAUGAUGUCGUUUGGCGCCCUAUUAUUUUGUCGCGUCCUCGUGAUGUCGUGUCCUCCUGCACAGAAAUUAUUUUUUUCGCGUCCUCGUGCUGUAUUGCCAUUGCAGAAACGAGCCGUCAUAGAGAACCCACGGAAGCACCAAUGUUUAAAGUUUCAACUGUCUUAAGAGAAAACUGUAUAAUGUGAUGUAAGUAAUAAAUUUAGUUGAGGAGUUAAAGACUGCUCCAAUUACAGCCAAAUACAUGUAACUGCUAUGUGACUUUGUCAAAAUUGAUAAGUUUCAGUCUGUGACUAUGUGUAACUAGAUCUAUGUUGGGAUGUUACAUUUGUUUCUAAGAAAAAUGAAACCUGAGAGUCUUACAAAUAUCUGUCAGUGUCCGUUUGUGACCAUGUGUUACUUCCUUGUACAAGAUGUAUAUAGGCAUAUUACCCUUUGCAAAAAAGUCAGUCUGUGACUCUGUGUGACUAUUAAGGACUGAAGCCCUUCCCUCGAGUAUUUACUAUAACAAGGGUGACAUUCUGCUUUUAGAAUACAGACGGUUUGCUACAGGUAACAAAUAAUCGGGUACUUGUGGAAAAACUUCGAUUUAACCAUAUCUAACAUUGCACACACCUUCGAUAAUUUCAAGUGUUUAGGCAGAAUUUCGUGAACAUUUUCCGAUGAAAUGCCCACUGAUGAUUGGAAAACUGGAUAUCUCGAGUUUUCUACUACAAUGCUGCUACGUUGUAAAGCGCACUUCACGAGGAAGAUAUUGGACUCUAGCAUACUGCCGUUGAUACAACAAUAACUUGUCUGUUCUCCACUCCUUGCGGGUAAAUGCUUUCACUAAUAAUCAUAACCCUGUCUGUUCCUCGUGCCUCGCUAAAACAUCAAUAACCUUUCUGUUCUCUGUACCUCGCUGGAAAAUACUGUCGCUGGCAGAUCAAUACCUUAUCUGUUAACAGUGCCCUCGCUGGAAAACACUGUCGCUGAUAUCAUCAAUAUCCUGUACCUGUUUCUCCGUGCAUUCUUGGAAAAUACUGUCGCUGAUACACAAGUUCCCUGUCUGAUCUCCGUGCCCCGCUAAAACACUGUCGCUGAUAUAUCAAUAUCCUACCUGUUCUCCGUGCAUCUUGGAAAAUACUGUCGCUGAUACACAGUUUCCCUGUCUGAUCUCCGUGCCACGCUAGAAAAAACACUGUUGCUGAUACAUCAAUAUCCUGUCUGUUCUCCGUGCAUCUUGGAAAAUACUGUCGCUAAUACAACAAUAUCCUAUCUGUUUCUCUGUGCCUUGCUGGAAAACUUACUGAAAUGUUUUUGUAAAUAUGUUAACGUACCGUCAUGAUUGCAACAGUGCUUGAUAUUGUUACAGUUACUAUUUGUUGGCAAUGGAUCAUAACAUUAAUUCAAGAUUAAUGUAUUUAAUAGGCAUAUACGAGGGUCGUUCAACAAAUACGUAGACUGGUGCCAUAACUUCAAAACUAGCCAAUAAAGCCGUCCUAAGUUUGUAUCAUUUUGAAAUAUAGUGUCUCUGAUAUGUAUUUGCCAAAUCUGAAAGAGUUACCAUGAAUUAUGUCUGUAAUGUGAUCAUUUGAUUAAGCAAGGGCUAUGCUGUGCGACCCACGAUACUACAAACAUGUUCUGCUGUUCAUUCGCGGUUUGAAGUAUCAGGGCACGUUUAGUUUGUGGAGACCUCGAUGCUUUCUUUGUACUGAGAUAUACAUUUGGUAUGCUUAAAGAUGGUUUUUAAUUUGGCAGUAUAAACUUGCAACAUAGCCGCAUUCACGGUAUGUUGGCUAUACCACAGACACUUGGUGUCAGCACCCCGCUUCCUUCGCCCCUGUCAACAGUUACUCGAUGUCCUUUUGAAAUAAUCUUUUUCUUUAGCCGAUGUUAUAAUCUUUUUUUUAUAAAUGAAACACCGAUCAAUAAACGGUGUUACAAGUUAAAUGCAUUUUAUGCAUAGGACUACGCGUAUUACGACUGUAAAUUGUAGUUCAUAUGGCGACGUUCUAGCCUUUCAUCGUGUAGGAUGACCCCAGCUGCCCCUCUUGAUAUUGUUUCAGGUACUGGCGGUCACCUGGGCCACCUGUGUAGAAUCGCCGACCUUCCGUAAGCCAACUGGAUGGCUUGUUAGAGGCAAGUAUUUCGAACUCUCGUUCACGGAGGAGCCUUGUGAUAUAAUGAAGAACAAUAGUAAAAUAUAUACAGUUUUAGAUUCACAUUAAUGAUUAAAUGUAUAUUCUGAUAUCAUAUUUCAGAAGACUUGAAAAUACUAUGGAUAAACGAGAUGACACGACAGAAGGAUAUAGACCAGGGAUGGGCAUGGGUAGCGAUGACGUCAUCAUAUAUUGGCAUGGUUAUAUACUGCGUGCCUUAUUAUAUACAUGACUGGAGUCUUGUACAUAGCUCUACUCGACAAGUAUAACGAGGGAGAGGUAAAAACAUCCUUGAUAGGGGCAGUAUGCUCAGGAUUACUAUGUUUUGCAGGUACAUUUUAAUGCUACUGUCUAUGUAACAGUUUGUUUUCCUAUUUAAAUUGUGUAUAAACAAUCAACGAUGUGUAAUUUGUGAUUUUAUGUUGAAACUAACUGUCACUUAUUGUUUAGGAGGAACUGCGUUGCAGCACUUGAGGUUAAACUUCGAUGAAAGGAGCGUUAUGGAACUUUAAUUAUGUUUUAGCUCCUUUAGGUGGAGUCAUCAAUAAUCGGUUCAGCUGUCGAGUUUCCAUCAUACUGGGUGGCGUAUUCAUCAACGACUGGAUUUGCCACAAGUGCUUUCGUACCAAGUAUCGACUGGAUGAUAGUUACUGCCGGCAUUUGUGUUGGUAGGAUAUAAUUUUCCAUGAUUUGCCUGUCAAUAUUGUCUGACAUAAAUUACAUUAUAGUCUCUAUAACUAUUUUUAGCUGUAUAUUCAGAUAAAAAAGUUGUAUGUAGAAUUUGAUUAAACUAGCAGUAAGAAAUACUUAGGAAAUACGACCAAAUUAAAUAAAGAUAGGGUCAUGUGCUUGAUUCUGUAUUCGACUUAACACAAAACAAACUGAACCGCAAACAAAUUCACACAAUUGUAGUCUUUGGGAAAAUUGCCAUUACUGAUGACAUUUUCGCUUUUAUAGAAAACAUUUAUUUCUAAUAAUUUGAUUUUUUUGUUAUGUACUUUAGAGGUAUAUUUACAUGGUAUUUCGUCAAUUUAAAUUAUAAUAAAUAAAAAUGAAUUGCGGAAAAUUUUCUCCAAUAAACAAAAUGAAGUUUCAAGAUGAAAAACACCAUAGAAGUUCCUUGCAAUAUUUUCAUCUGUUGCUAAAUCUGGUGUUCAAUUGCAGGUUUUGGCUUCGGAAUUUUGUCAUCAGGACUGAUUUGUGUUGUCGGGUUCUACUUUGAAAAAUGGCGGGAUAUUGUCAUUUCGUGUGCAUUCCUCACAGUCGGACUAGCAAUGUUUAUUUCCGCACCGUUUGGGAUAUUUUUGGUGACGAAAUACGGACUAGAUACAACAUUUUUAAUUCUAGCGUGUAUUCAAGCUCAAACGUGUAUUUGUGGAAUGUUAAGUAUACCCGCUUCUAUUGAAAAAAAAGUUCAAACUCAAAAGAAAAGAGAUAGAAAACUAGAAGGCCAGUCUAACUCGAAAACAUAUUUAGAUGUGUCGUUGAUUAGAAAUGGUUCUUAUGCAUGUUUUUUGUUAAGUAUAUUGACAUGGAACUUUGGUAUGCGUGUCGCGAUAAUGCAUCUCCCGAACUAUGUUUCAGUUCUUGGUGGGGGUAAUCGUGACAUUGGGCUAAUUAUGACGUCAUUUUCUGUAGCUAAUGUCCAUUGGUCGUGUUCUUGGAUCAUUGACAAUUUCGAAAAUGCGCGAUAAAAGUUUACACGUGUACGCUGGAGUUCUUGGAUUGACAGGGGUUAUAACUUCAUAAUUCGUAUUUUACUCGGAUUUUACGGGUGGAACUUAUAUUUUUGCGAUUCAGUAAGGAAUGUUUACCGGCUGGCCUAACUCGAUGAUGACACCACUUUCGCUUAGAUUCGUGGGUGUUCAUAAGCUCUCGGAGGCGUACGGAUUAACCUAUGUUUUCUGUGGUCUCGGCGUAUCAACAGGACCAGUUUUAAUAGGUAUUUUUGGUGGAUUUAUUAACGAUAUGCCAUGGAGAGAUGAAAUGAUAUUUUUGCUUCAGAAAAGGCAGUUAAAGUACAAAAAUGUAGCCAUAGGCUGUAGAAAAUUUUCACAGAAGUUUGUAUUCUAACAAAAUGAUUCCGUUCAAAGUAUAUAGGCUAAUAAGUUUAUUUGGAGUUACUUACUGAAUACCGUAAUUGUUCUAAGAGAAUAUUUUCAAUCUUUACUCUCGGAUAAAAUCGUUUCUUAUUAGUUUUAUCCUCGACUCAUUAAUAAUUGCAAGUCGCCGAUGAGCGGCGAUGUUACUUGUAUGAUAUCAAGCUGUUUAUAUGUCUUUUUUAACUAAUAUAAUAUUUUUACAUUUAAGGUUACAUUUACGUGGCAACUGGGUCGUACAAAUACAGUUUUGUUGUAGCAGGUAUAGUUUUUUGUUUGGGUUGUUUAUUUGGUGUGUGUUCCAUCUGCUGCAGACAAGAAUCGACAACUGACGAAAGAACAAUUGAAUUAGUUACAACAAAGUAUGAGCAGGUCAUUGAAAAGCCGCUUCAGCAGCGGGAUGAUUUCAGUGUGGAAAAUAAAAUGACGGAAUCUGACAAUUUAUUUUAUUCUGACGAUGGUCAGAAUAGUUAUAAAGACCAGGUCAGCAUAACUGGAACAUGUGUGCAGCAAACUGCUGGACAAGAGGCUGAUAAUCUAUUAAAGGAUGAUAUAUAAUAAAACAGACGUGUGCUAGCGAUUCGAGUUUAUUUGCCGAUCCUAUACUGUCGUUCAUUUCGCAUGAACUCCGAAAGAAAAUUAAUUCAUUUCUCAUAUCAACAUUAUAUUUCCUUUCCAUUUGUAAACAAGGUUGAAUUUUAAACUGCACACAUUUUGUUGCAGUUGACUUUAAAAUCAGCUUCACGGCAAUUCUGUUCACCAGACGGAACAACUGCCACGUCAUCUAAGGAUCGUUCUCCCUGACAAUACGCGGACGUCGUCAAAACAGCGGCACGUUAUCACUAAGCAGCGUUAUAUCGUAACUUUAUAUUCAUGGAAAAUGAACGUCGUAAUAAAAUAAUGUAAUAGAUAUAUUUCUGGUAUAAUAAUAAUAAUAAUCAAUGGAAAAGAA
rnacentral:lncRNA from 1 species